AAGUCGUAACAAGGUUUCCGUAGGUGAACCUGCGGAAGGAUCAUUAUUGAAUUUUCAAUAACGUAUGUGAACCAGCUGAACCACAUAACAGGUUGUCACUGCCUUACGCAAUUGAGGAUAUGUGGCAUUACUUGGUGGGUAGGCGUAACCACUGACGGACUUUGAGCCGUCAGUCUUUUUAACCAACCCUUCAUCAUUGACUUUGACUGAAACUUCUUUAAUUUUAAAGACAACUUUUAGCAAUGGAUCUCUAGGCUCUC
rnacentral:misc_RNA from 1 species